GUUGUCCUGCCAGAAUUCCAGGAAACUAGGCAGAAUGGAAAGUUCCAGGGCCUCCAUGUGCCCCUCCCACAAGUACCCUGUGGACUAACACUGUAUGCCUCUGCUCCGGCAUACACGAAGGUGUAAUUAAGUCUCUGGUGAUUACUAUUGAGAAUGAAUAGCACCGGAAGUGCAAAAUAAAGCCGUAUUCCUUGGUCUGAGGGAGAAGCAAGGAUCAGUGUCAGCAUUUUUUCCUCCCACAAUGGUGAAACAGAUUCCUCACUGUCUACCUGACUGUGCAGUAGACCCUGGCUCAUCAGGAGUAAGAAACCAUGACAGAAGAAAGAUCAGCACAUCCCUGAGCCUUUAUCAAAGAGACCGAGAGAUGGAGUAAAGUACUUCAACUAACCACGUCUUUCAGUCUGUCCUCGAGAGUGCAAAGAAGGGCUGUAGGAAGAGGAAACAUCAGAGGCUGCAAAGAAGAGGAAGAGGCUGAAAUAGAGAGACUGGCACAGGGCAAGUGCUGUCUGGGACUGAGGGAAAAUGACAACAAACAAUUCGACCUUGCACUUACUUCAAGAUCCUCUACCCAGCACUGCCUUAAGAGCUCCAUUUCGGCACUCAGAUUAAAGUGCUGCAGCUCAAAACACAGCCUUGCCAACUUGGCUCCAGGGAAGGAGCAGCCAUUGGAACAAUGCAGGCAAUUUAAUCGUGUUGCAGAGAGGAGUAAGCCCAAGUCUGGAGGCUUUACUGGAACGGAAUGCAAUUCCCUCGUCCCAGUAGGAAGAAUGAAAGUGGGGCUGAGGUGGACAAAAGACAACAUCCAAAAUGACAUAAAAAUUAACCACCCAACUCAAUGAAUUACCCACGAGAUAAUGGGAUAAAUGUUUGUGAGUCAGACCAAAGAGCAAAAACAGAACAGAAAGAAAGAAUUCUCAACUGUAGGCUGAAACCUUUCUACUUCGUUCUGUGAGGCAAAAUCUCAGUCUCUCUCUUUCCACUUAAGUUCAGGUUUUAAAACUCGGUUGUUCUCUAUGGAAUUGAAGCCUGUGUAGACCAUUGUGUGUAGCUGUAUUUCAAAUACUGUUCUCUCUGUUAUCACUCAAACUCCUAGUUAUUCAGUUUGACCUGAAGUUAAAGAACAGAAUUGUUUCAUGCUUUAAAAUUACUUCCCACUAUUUUAUAGAGAUAAAAACAAGUUAUGAAAAAAAAACCCUUAGGUAUAAGCCAAGUUAGAGUUCAUAAUUAAGAUUACCAGAAUAAAAACCAUAGUCAUAUGUCUGUUCCCCUAUUUCUCAUCCUAAAUAUGUUUUUUUUGGUGGGGGGCAGUUUAGUUAAACAUAAAAUGUUUAUUGUCCAUUGCUGUAGUAAAAAUUACUUGGGGGUUAACCCCAUUCUUGAUCAUAUUGUUCCUAAGUAAAUGACACAACCCUUUAUAUUUAUAAUAAUCUUUAAAGCACUAGAGCUGGGAAGAUGUCAACUCUCCAUGGUAUUUUGUCUAAUUCACUAAAUCUGAGAUAUCACUUGCUAUGUUCCCCUUGGUCCUCUCCAACUCGGACUGGCCAGCCCUCGUGGCCGUGUUCUCACUAGCCACCUAUCCAAUGUCAUCUUCUCCCCUCUCCUCUCUCUUCUUCUCCUCAUGGUCUCUGCCUCAGACUCCAAUUCUGGGAACCAAAGCUCUGCCUACCUCUCUUCUGCCCAGCCAUAGGUUGUAGGCUUCUUUUUUUAGCCAAUGGUUUUAAAUUAAGGAGCAAGGUUGCAUAGCAUCACUUGGUAUAUAUGCAGAUGUGCUUGUCAAGGACAGCAACAUCUUGAGAAGCCAGUAUUUAGCAUUAGAAUAUAAGCAUCAUCAGACUCACCCUCUACAGUCCAUUGUACCUAUGAUAAUACAAUAAACAAUGAUUAAGCAGCCU